GCUGGUUUGGCUCAGUGGAUAGAGCGUCGGCUGCGGAUUGAAAGGUCCCAGGUUUGAUUCCUGGCAAGAGCA
rnacentral:tRNA from 1 species